AGCGAACGCUGGCGGCAGGCUUAACACAUGCAAGUCGAACGGGCACCUUCGGGUGUCAGUGGCAGACGGGUGAGUAACACGUGGGAACGUGCCCUUUGGUUCGGAACAACUCCGGGAAACUGGAGCUAAUACCGGAUAAGCCCUUCGGGGAAAGAUUAUCGCCAAAGGAUCGGCCCGCGUCUGAUUAGCUAGUUGGUGAGGUAAUGGCUCACCAAGGCGACGAUCAGUAGCUGGUCNGAGAGGAUGAUCAGCCACACUGGGACUGAGACACGGCCCAGACUCCUACGGGAGGCAGCAGGUGGGGAAUAUUGGACAA
rnacentral:rRNA from 1 species